UAACAAGAUGGCCUCUUGUGAUGACCUCAGUCUCCUGAAUAAGAUGGUUUAAUGAUGAUUGAACCCUCUAAGAAGUUGACUGAAGAGGCUUGUUGGCU